rnacentral:rRNA from 1 species
UGGGGAUGACGUCAAGUCCUCAUGGCCCUUAUGACCAGGGCUACACACGUGCUACAAUGGCCGGUACAAAGAGUUGCGAUACCGCGAGGUGGAGCUAAUCUCAUAAAGCCGGUCUCAGUUCGGAUUGGAGUCUGCAACUCGACUCCAUGAAGUUGGAAUCGCUAGUAAUCGCGGAUCAGCAUGCCGCGGUGAAUACGUUCCCGGGCCUU